rnacentral:rRNA from 1 species
CCCUAUGGGGCGCAGCAGGCAACCCCGGAAGUUCAGUCCCAGUGGUUUACCGAGCCGGAAGCGGUCAAUGCCAUGACCUUUGACGGGAUCGGUCGGUACAAGGACGGCAGGUUGAUCUCCAAUUAUCCUGACUUGAGAAUGCUGAGAGGGAGGCGGCCUUGUCCGACCUGAACGUAGCAUCGACCACGGCCGUGGUCUGGCACAGCGAGAAUUGGGUAUGAGGAUUUGAGCGUGGAAAGAAUAAGACUAAAGGUGCAGAUCGGUUUGGCUGCCCUGUUCAACAUCGGUCUCUUUCAGUGGCACUGCAUUUGUUUUCCUGUCCUGAACUGCCAUUCCUGUCCGGUUUCCAUCUUUGCCUGCCCGCUUGGCGUCAUGGGGCAGUUCGCGGGAGUUGGGCUGUUCCCCUUGACCGUGGUCGGUGGCAUUGCUCUGGCGGGCUUGGUAGCCGGGAGGUUUCUGUGCGGGAGGGC